rnacentral:rRNA from 1 species
GAUGAACGCUGGCGGCGUGCCUAAUACAUGCAAGUCGAGCGAACGGACGAGAAGCUUGCUUCUCUGAUGUUAGCGGCGGACGGGUGAGUAACACGUGGAUAACCUACCUAUAAGACUGGGAUAACUUCGGGAAACCGGAGCUAAUACCGGAUAAUAUUUUGAACCGCAUGGUUCAAAAGUGAAAGACGGUCUUGCUGUCACUUAUAGAUGGAUCCGCGCUGCAUUAGCUAGUUGGUAAGGUAACGGCUUACCAAGGCAACGAUGCAUAGCCGACCUGAGAGGGUGAUCGGCCACACUGGAACUGAGACACGGUCCAGACUCCUACGGGAGGCAGCAGUAGGGAAUCUUCCGCAAUGGGCGAAAGCCUGACGGAGCAACGCCGCGUGAGUGAUGAAGGUCUUCGGAUCGUAAAACUCUGUUAUUAGGGAAGAACAUAUGUGUAAGUAACUGUGCACAUCUUGACGGUACCUAAUCAGAAAGCCACGGCUAACGACGUGC